UGACAGAUUGCAACCGAACCCUAAUAAAACUUAUUAUAUUAUAUUAUUAUUUAUUUUUUCCACUUUUUAUUUUUGCAUCUCAGCAAAAGCAAAUUUCAGCGGUUUCCAGUCCAGGACGGACGGGCGGAUGGACAGACAGACAGACAAAUAUGGCGAAACUAUAAGGAUUCCUAGUUGACUACGAAAUACUAAAAUAAGCGCCAAAUUUGAAACAUGGGCGAAGGUUUAUUGUGCCAUAGAAAAUUUGAAUUAGGCGCCUUUUUUAAACGACAGUAUUUGCUUGGCCAUAAUUUUCUUUAAAUAAUUUUAUUAAUGUAAAUGUUGCAAAUAAUUGUGAAAAUAAAGUUAUCGAAUAAUAAUACUAAAGCCUGACCAGAAAUAUAUGACUAUUAUUGUCAAGAGGGCGCUGUUUAUUCUGAUGUAUGGGGUGACAUUGCAGUUUAGUAUGAAGAAUAGUUCUCAUAUUAUAUUUCUCUCUUUAUUAGGCUCUCAGGCUUUAUCAAUCUAUGACUUUCGAGCCAAUUCGUCACUACUUUUAAAAAAUUUCGUAUCUCACGCUGUUCCUCAAAGUUAAAACGCAGUAAGUCUAUAUGCAUUCCAUACAUACUUACUACAAUUUUCUUUUCAUUGAUAGACGAAGAUAUGAGUUUUUUUUUAAAGUAGUGACGAAUUAUUUAUGUCUCCUGAUUUUUAGGACACGUGUCUUCUGAUUUUAUUCAAAUUGGACCUGGCAACACUGAAAUAAUGUCAGAAUCUUUUCUUUGACAUUAUUUACAAUUUAUAUUAUUGUACAUAAUUGGUUUUUUCACUAUUCUUAAGCUAAAAAAAACACCUGUUUGUCCUCCAAAGAAUACCUUAUUGGAUUCACAGAAUGAUUGAGGAUUUGAGGGAAGCAUGUUAAGACUGUGACAAUAUGGUCUUAAGGCAGCCGGCCUCAUUGAGAACAAGAAAAUAUUCUGCUUCAUGUAGCGGUUGUUAUUUGUUAAUAUGACAUGUCUCGGCAGUGUAGUGACCCUGUGCUUAAUUAAGGCUUCAGGCUCAAAUCAUGGUAAACCAAAAUGUAAGCGGCCGGUUGAAAAAGUAGCAGAGUCGAAAAUGGAAAUUAAUGAGCUGCAGAAGUAAAUUUUAGAAGAAUAAUUCUCUUCUUUGUUGUAUCCUUGUGGCUGAGGGACAUGACGAAUGAGGCCAUUCUUUACCAGUGCUCUUCACGCCACUCAAUCCUGGGCCCGGUGCAUGCUAGCCUGCAGUGGUCUUUGUCAGAGAUGUUAUUGUGUCUGCCCAAUGUGUGCCCAUGCUGCCACUUCUUCACUUCCUUGCCGUGUCCUGUGAUUAUGGGAAUAAUAUGCAAAUAAAAACCAACAAUGGGCCAUCGAAGAACAGGAGAGGGCAUGUGGGCCUUAGAGAAAGAGUUGUUAAUGUGAAGACUAAAUAAAUUCAACAAAUAAAAUCUCAACUAUAAUACUGUCUUUGGUACACCCGCUACCAUCGCGUCAAAUAGUGAAAGUGCAGUUCAGUGUAAGCAAAGACAGUGUACAAGAUAUACCACUCACCUAUGGCAUUAGUGUUACUAGACCACAUUAAUACAUAAAGACUAUUUUUCUAAACUUGUCCAAAAAUUUUAUUAAAAAGGUGUCGGAACGCCUUACAGGUGUCUCGAGGGACCAAAUAGCGGGUUCCUUCUUUGCUCAGAGGUUGAGUCUGGCGGUGCAAAGGGGAAACGCCGCAAGCAUUCUUGGGUCUAUGCCGGAGGCAGGGGAUCUGAGGGGGUUUUUUAUAUUUAGUUAUAACCUGCUUGUGUUAGUUUUAGUCUUUAGGGUUUUAAGAUUUAAUUAUAAGAUUAAAUAUAUUGUUCGUAGUUGUUGUUGAAUAAGCAGUGUUUGUGUGUCUGACUAACGAAAAUAUAAAUUCAGAUUCUAAACGUCUAAACUUGUGUAUAGCUCUGUGUUGUCUUAAUAAAUCCUAUUGGAAACGC
rnacentral:lncRNA from 1 species